GAUGAACGCUAGCGGGAGGCCUAAUACAUGCAAGUCGAAUGGUAACAGGUCUAGCAAUAGAUGCUGACGAAUGGCGCACGGGUGCGUAACACGUACACGAACCUGCCCUUAAUACUGGAGCAUACCCCCAAGAAAUUGGGACUAACUCUCCAUAACGUUGUAGAGCGGCAUCGCUUUACAAUUAAAACUCCGGUGGUAUAAGAUGGGUGUGCGUCCGAUUAGGUAGUUGGGAGGUAACGGCUCACCAAGCCAACGAUCGGUAGCUGGUCUGAGAGGGCGAUCAGCCACACGGGCACU
rnacentral:rRNA from 1 species